rnacentral:rRNA from 1 species
AUUGAACGCUGGCGGCAUGCUUUACACAUGCAAGUCGAACGGUAACAGGCCGCAAGGUGCUGACGAGUGGCGAACGGGUGAGUAAUGCAUCGGAACGUGCCCAGUCGUGGGGGAUAACGCAGCGAAAGCUGCGCUAAUACCGCAUACGAUCUAUGGAUGAAAGCGGGGGACCGUAAGGCCUCGCGCGAUUGGAGCGGCCGAUGUCAGAUUAGGUAGUUGGUGGGUAAAGGCCCACCAAGCCAACGAUCUGUAGCUGGUCUGAGAGGACGACCAGCCACACUGGGACUGAGACACGGCCCAGACUCCUACGGGGGGCAGCAGUGGGGAAUUUUGGACAAUGGGCGCAAGCCUGAUCCAGCAAUGCCGCGUGCAGGAAGAAGGCCUUCGGGUUGUAAACUGCUUUUGUACGGAGCGAAACGGUUCUCUCUAAUACAGGGGGCUAAUGACGGUACCGUAAGAAUAAGCACCGGCUAACUACGUGCCAGCCGCCGCUGUAACAC